rnacentral:rRNA from 1 species
UACGGAGGAUGCAAGCGUUAUCCGGAAUGAUUGGGCGUAAAGCGUCCGCAGGUGGCUAUGUAAGUCUGCUGUUAAAGAGUGAGGCUCAACCUCAUAAGAGCAGUGGAAACUACAUGGCUAGAGUGCGUUCGGGGCAGAGGGAAUUCCUGGUGUAGCGGUGAAAUGCGUAGAUAUCGGGAGGAACAUCAGUGGCGAAGGCGGCCCUCUGGUCCAGUACUGACACUCAAGUGCGAAAGCGUGGGGAGCAAACAGG